GAGUACUGAUGGGUAUCAAGAAGGUACAGUCCAUGAGUACUGCUGGGUAUCAGGAAGGUACAGUCCAUGAGUACUGCUGGGUAUCAGGAAGGUACAGUCCAUGAGUACUGCUGGGUAUCAGGAGGUACAGUCCAUGACUACUGCUGGGUAUAAGGAGGUACAGUCCAUGAGUACUGCUGGGUAUCAGGAGGUACAGUCCAUGAGUACUGCUGGGUAUCAGGAGGUACAGUCCAUGAGUACUCCUGGGUAUCAGGAAGGUACAGUCCAUGAGUACGGCUGGGUAUCAGGAAGGUACAGUCCAUGAGUACGGCUGGGUAUCAGGAGGUACAGUCCAUGAGUACUGCUGGGUAUCAGGAAGGUACAGUCCAUGAGUACUGCUGGGUAUCAGGAAGGUACAGUCCAUGAGUACUGCUGGGUAUCAGGAAGGUACAGUCCAUGAGUACGGCCGGGUAUCAAUAGGUACAGUCCAUGAGUACUGCUGGGUAUCAGGAAGGUACAGUCCAUCAGUACAGCUGGGUAUCAGGAGGUACAGUCCAUGAGUACUGCUGGGUAUCAGGAAGGUACAGUCCAUGAGUACUGCUGGGUAUCAGGAAGGUACAGUCCAUGAGUACGGCUGGGUAUCAGGAGGUACAGUCCAUGAGUACUGCUGGGUAUCAGGAAGGUACAGUCCAUGAGUACGGCUGGGUAUCAGGAAGGUACAGUCCAUGAGUACGGCUGGGUAUCAGGAGGUACAGUCCAUGAGUACUGCUGGGUAUCAGGAAGGUACAGUCCAUGAGUACUGCUGGGUAUCAGGAGGUACAGUCCAUGAGUACUGCUGGGUAUCAGGAAGGUACAGUCCAUGAGUACUGCUGGGUAUCAGGAAGGUACAGUCCAUGAGUGCUGCUGGGUAUCAGGAAGGUACAGUCCAUGAGUACUGCUGGGUAGAGCUGGGCCAUAUGGAGAAAAAUCUUUAUCGGCAGUAAUUGCCUGAAUUGAUGCUAUAACGAUAACUAUAAUGAUAAGUUCUAGUUUUAAAAUAUCCUUAAAACUAUUUCCUACUCGUUUGAUAGUUGUAGCCAUCAACUGUCCUAUUAUCAAUCACCCAAAUUAGCAAAUGCAUUUAAUUUUAUACUUCACAUUUCUCUAGUAUCGACAAUUUAUCCUAAUGAACGAUGUCUACAAAAUAAGUGAUCGGUGUGGUUUGUAUCGAUACAUUUUGGUUUCUUGUCCCAGCUUUACUGCUGGGUAUCCACUCCACCCCUCACCACCAACCAACCAAUCAUAAACCAUCAAGAGGUACAGUCCAUGAGUA